rnacentral:lncRNA from 1 species
GUGACACCCACUACGGUUCAUGUCGCUUCGACCUCCCCACAACAAUGAUCACUUGAGGUAGUCUGUCCAUGUUUGUCCAUUGUUGAUGCUUGCGUCUUCUCGUUGCUUGAGCUUCUGAACUUAAAACUUGUGCAUUGUUGAUGGUAGAGUCCACAAGUGUUGAUGCUUAUAUUGUACAUACUUCCUAGCUUCUAUUUGAGCCUCAUAUGUUGAUGCUUGUUGACUCUUUUGCCUUAUCCAUCUUUGCAACUUAACUUUAGAAACUCAUGCGUGUGAUAAUGGACUUAUAGGUUUGCAUUGUGGAUGGCAUUGACGGUGGGCAUAUAUGCUGCGGUGGAGCUCAUUGCAUGGUUCAUGCUUGGUGUGAACUUGGAACUCAUGAUCCUUUAAUUUGUGAACCUCUGGUUGCAUAUGUAUGUAUGUUGUUGUGAACCUUCGUUGGAUAUGUAUGCACAACUUACGGUCCUUUCGUUUGUGAUCUUUUGUUGCAUACGUAUGCAUAUGUGGACUUUGCACUCAUGUACGGCUGGAUAUAUGUAUU